AUGGCGCUAAUCAAUCCCUCCACCACACACAUCUACCCACAGCCGCCGCCUCCACAGCCAAUCCAUCCAACCUCUUCUUCCUCCUCCGGCUGCUCUCCCCCUUCAUUCCUCCAAACCCUAGCGCAAACCCUAAUGUCCACCACCGCACACCCUCCUGCCUCCCUCUCAGGGGACUCCUCGCCGACUACCUCCGGCUCAUCCUCCCCCUCCUCCUCCGCCGCCGUCGCUGGCUCCGAGGAGCCCGCGCUUCUCGGGCAAGCCACCUCGACUUCCACCCCCUCUGCUGCCGGGGAUGACGCCGCCGUCCCCUCCUCGCCCCAAAUGGGCAUGUACUUCGAGACGGAGGACGACGCCUACGAGUUCUACAAGGCAUACGCCGCCCGCCUUGGCUUCGUCGUCCGCAAGUCCAACAAGUCCAAGAACUCCCGGCACACCGUCACCCGCCGUCUCUUCGUCUGCUCCAAGCAAGGUUUCCGCCAAGAACCCAAGAAGCCUCAAGAUGAGACCAACGCCACCGACGUCACCGUUGCUGCAUCGCCACCGCCUCCUAGGUGCCCGGACUCACGCACCGGCUGCUUGGCGUCCCUCACCAUCAAGCUACUCCCUUCGGCCAAUGCCUUCCGUGUCACUGAAUUUGUCGCCGAGCACAACCACCCGCUCGCCUCUGCAGUGUCCGCGGUGGCAAUGAUUCCGUCAAGUUCUUCGCAUCACACCAUUGCCGCUGCCGCAAGCUUGCCGGACCCAAGGGACGGGCCACGCCCAGAGAUGCACUUCGAGACGGAAGAUGACGCCUAUGCCUUCUACAACCGGUACGCCGAGCAUGUGGGUUUCAGCGUCCGCCGCUCAUACAAGAAGCGCAAGCAUGGGGUGAUCGUGUCUCGUAUCUUUGUUUGUUCCCGUGAGGGCGUCAGUGACCGUGCCAAGCAUGAUGGCCUAGCCAGUAUCAGCGCCAAUGCUGGUGGAGGGGCACCAGGCCCACCUAGGCCAGGCCCACCACCAACACGAACAGGUUGCCAGGCAAGAAUGGUGAUCAAGAUCACCCCAUGCCGAACAUACCGGGUUGCUAAAUUUAUUGCGGAGCAUAAUCACCCACUCGCUAACUCAGAGACCGUGCACAAGCUGCGGUCCCAUAAGAUGAGGGCUCGAGGGCAUGAGCUUGGCCCAGGGGAACUGCAUCGAAGGAAGCAGGGAAAGGGUGUGCAGCUUGGGGAUGCUGGUGCUGCAUUGGAAUACUUGGAAGGGUUGCAGGUGGGAAACCCUUCACUGUAUUAUGCAGUAGGAAUGGCACCUGAUGGGAAUUUAGCUGUAAAUUUCUUCUGGGCUGAUGCAAAGUCAAUCAUCGACUUCAGAAGCUUUGGUGAUGUCGUUUGCUUUGAUACAACAUAUGGGCUGAAUGUGUAUGGGCGACCAUUUGCAUUGUUUGUUGGUGUGGACAACCACAAGCAGUUACUCGUGCUUGGUGCAGCCUUGCUCUAUGAUGAUGGCAUCCAGUCACUGAAAUGGGUAUUUCAGGCGUUUGAUGAUGCCAUGCGUGAUAGGCAGCCAAAGACUAUUCUGAUUGAUGAGCGUUCUGAAUGUGCCAUUGCAGCAGCAGAGGUCUGGCCUGGGAGUAACCAUUGCACAAGCGUGUGGCAUAUAUACCACAGUUCAAAGAGGCACUUGAAGCAGGUGUUUGAAAGCUCGAAAAGUUUUGGCAAUGCUUUGAGCCAGUGUCUCUUUGACUGUGAGGAUGAGAUGGAGUUCUUGUCUGCAUGGGAAAAGCUAAUUGAGAAACAUGACAUUGGUGAGAGUGAAUGGCUCAGCAGACUAUUUCUAGAGAAAGAAAAAUGGGCUCUGCCUUAUAGGAGAACUGUGUUUUCUGCUGAUAUUCUCAGUACUCUUAGAAAGGAUAGUAUGAUUAAUGAGCUAAAACGGGAGCUCAAUGAGCAAGAAGAUAUUCUGCUGUUCUUCAAGCGUUACGAGACCAUGCUGGAAGAGCAUCGCUCAAAGAAAUUGCAGGCUGAUGUUGAUGGAAAUCAGGUGACUUUGCCAAUCCCGUCCUUGCGAAUGUUAAAACAAUCUUCAAAUGCAUAUACACCUGAAGCUUUCAAGAUGUUCCAGGGUGAGUUUGAGGCUUACAUGAACUGCAUGUCCUUCCCCUGCAGUGUGGUUGGGACAGUGUCAGAGUACAAAAUAACACUUGAUGAGAAGCCAUCAGACGCCAUUGUGAAAUUUGAUGCACUAGAUGGCUUGGCCACUUGCAGCUGCAGGAAGUUUGAAUCUGUUGGAAUCCAGUGUUGUCAUGUACUAAAGGUACUUGAUCUCAAGAAUAUCAAGGAGCUCCCAGAACAAUACAUUUUGAAGAGAUGGAGGAAAGAUGCCCGCUCUGUUAGAAUGGGAGAAGAACCUAACUGUGGAUCUAGCAGUAUCAUGCGGUCAUCUUUGGAUGUUCGCUUCUCUAACAUGUGCCGUAUGGUUAGCCUUAUAGCUUCAAGGGCCGCCAAAUCUGAGGAGGCAAUGUCAUACAUUGAGAGUCAAUCAAGCGUUCUUCUGAAGCAUCUGGAUGAAAUUCUACAGACAAGCUAUCCUGAGAAUGGAAACCAUGAUGUUGCUUCAAGUAGUCAAGCAAUUUCUUUUGUAGGAAAUCAUCCUGACCAUACAACACAAGCAAGAGCAGUUGCAGAUACAGCGAAUGGACUGACAUCCUUGUUGGGAAUUUCUGCUUAUCCUCCAGUGGACAAUUGA
rnacentral:rRNA from 1 species